UACGGAGGGGGCUAGCGUUGUUCGGAAUUACUGGGCGUAAAGCGCACGUAGGCGGCUUUGUAAGUUAGAGGUGAAAGCCCGGGGCUCAACUCCGGAAUUGCCUUUAAGACUGCAUCGCUAGAAUUGUGGAGAGGUAAGUGGAAUUCCGAGUGUAGAGGUGAAAUUCGUAGAUAUUCGCAAGAACACCAGUGGCGAAGGCGGCUCACUGGCCCGAUACUGACGCUGAGGUGCGAAAGCG
rnacentral:rRNA from 1 species